UUACAAGAAACAUUUGAUUUUUUAGAUUCAUUGAGUAAUUGAUGUAUUCGGUCUAAAAUAUAGACUAAAUACAUCAAUUAUUCAAUGAAUCAAAAAAGUCAAAUGUUUCUUGUAA
rfam:Medicago truncatula strain A17 chromosome 3, whole genome shotgun sequence.